rnacentral:tRNA from 1 species
AGAUAAGAAGCAAUUUUGCCAUCAGUUUCGACCUGAUUAUUUGAUGAUUAUUCAUCCUUAUUUA